UAGGGAAUCUUCCACAAUGGACGCAAGUCUGAUGGAGCAACGCCGCGUGAGUGAAGAAGGUCUUCGGAUCGUAAAGCUCUGUUGUUGGUGAAGAAGGAUAGAGGCAGUAACUGGUCUUUAUUUGACGGUAAUCAACCAGAAAGUCACGGCUAACUACGUGCCAGCAGCCGCGGUAAUACGUAGGUGGCAAGCGUUGUCCGGAUUUAUUGGGCGUAAAGCGAGCGCAGGCGGAAUGAUAAGUCUGAUGUGAAAGCCCACGGCUCAACCGUGGAACUGCAUCGGAAACUGUCAUUCUUGAGUGCAGAAGAGGAGAGUGGAACUCCAUGUGUAGCGGUGGAAUGCGUAGAUAUAUGGAAGAACACCAGUGGCGAAGGCGGCUCUCUGGUCUGCAACUGACGCUGAGGCUCGAAAGCAUGGGUAGCGAACAGGAUUAGAUACCCUGGUAGUCCAUGCCGUAAACGAUGAGCGCUAGGUGUUGGGGACUUUCCGGUCCUCAGUGCCGCAGCAAACGCAUUAAGCGCUCCACCUGGGGGAGUACGACCGCAAGGUUGAAAC
rnacentral:rRNA from 1 species